rnacentral:rRNA from 1 species
CCUACGGGAGGCAGCAGUGGGGAAUAUUGCACAAUGGGCGCAAGCCUGAUGCAGCCAUGCCGCGUGUAUGAAGAAGGCCUUCGGGUUGUAAAGUACUUUCAGCGGGGAGGAAGGUGUUGUGGUUAAUAACCGCAGCAAUUGACGUUACCCGCAGAAGAAGCACCGGCUAACUCCGUGCCAGCAGCCGCGGUAAUACGGAGGGUGCAAGCGUUAAUCGGAAUUACUGGGCGUAAAGCGCACGCAGGCGGUCUGUCAAGUCGGAUGUGAAAUCCCCGGGCUCAACCUGGGAACUGCAUUCGAAACUGGCAGGCUAGAGUCUUGUAGAGGGGGGUAGAAUUCCAGGUGUAGCGGUGAAAUGCGUAGAGAUCUGGAGGAAUACCGGUGGCGAAGGCGGCCCCCUGGACAAAGACUGACGCUCAGUGCGAAAGC